GACGAACGCUGGCGGCGUGCCUAAUACAUGCAAGUCGAACGCAGUGGGGACGGGUGAGUAACACGUGGGUAACCUCCCAUCAGAGGGGAUAACACUUGGAAACAGGUGCUAAACCGAUACUGAUGGAUGGACCCGCGGUGCAUUAGCUAGUUGGUGAGGUAACGGCUCACCAAGGCCACGAUGCAUAGGCGGACUUGGAGGGGGAUGGGGCACACUGGGACUGAGACAAGGCCCAGACCCCCAAGGGGGGCAGGCGGAGGGAAUUGUUCGCAAUGGGCGAAAGGCUGACCGAGCAACGCCGCGUGGGGGAAGAAGGUUUUCGGAUUGGAAAACUCUGUUGUUAGAGAAGCGGUAUCUAACCAGAAAGCCACGGCUAACUACGUGCCAGCAGCCGCGGUAAUAC
rnacentral:rRNA from 1 species